UCGUAGGCAGCAAGCGUUGUUCGGAAUUACUGGGCGUAAAGAGUGUGUAGGCGGUGCUCCAAGUCUGGUGUGAAAUCUCCCGGCUUAACUGGGAGGGUGCAUUAGAAACUGGAAUGCUAGAGGAUGGGAGAGGUAAGCGGAAUUCCUGGUGUAGCGGUGAAAUGCGUAGAUAUCAGGAGGAACACCUGUGGUGUAGACAGCUUACUGGACCAUUUCUGACGCUGAGACACGAAAGCGUGGGUAGCAAACAGGAUUAGAUACCCUGGUAGUCCACGCCCUAAACGAUGCAUACUUGGUGUGAGCGAUUCAUUUCGUUCGUGCCGGAGCUAACGCGUUAAGUAUGCCGCCUGGGGAGUACGGUCGCAAGGCUG
rnacentral:rRNA from 1 species